CAUAGAGCAAAGGUUAAAAAGGCCAGGUGCCUCUUGGUACUCAGCCAAGACCACACUGUUAUCUUUGUGGAUACCUUUAAAUACCUUUUUCCUUACAUCAGCUCUUUUCAUAUUCAUAGACCCUCAUGCAUUUCCAUAAACUAGUUCACAUUUUCCAGGAACAAUUUUACAUGGCCCCUCCUUGGGCCCACCUUUUAAGAGCACGCAUGUUUCUUGGCCGUGGUUUUGGCUCCUUCUCCUUAUCCUUUCCAGUUCAGGCCUUGGUCCACACUGACUUCAGAUGGUGAGUUGGAAUAUCUGUAGCAGGUGUCCUCAUCCUAUGUUCAUUGGAUCUUAUCUCAUCCAAGCAGACAUUUUAACACAAGCAUAACUAUUCCACUACUAUGUCUAAGCUUAAUUAACAACAGAAAUAAAAAUUAUACCUUUAUAACAAAGUUAUUUUAACACUACACAUAUAAAAUCCAUUUUAACACUUGCAAAAAGCCAAUAUUAUAAUAUGUAUCUAUAAUAUAAGGAAGGCUGAUCUGCAGAGAAAGCAUUUGCAUCUUUCACUCCUCAGGUGAGCAGUUAGUUUGAACUGAAAAGGUCAGGUUAUUUUGACACAACCAAACUGCAAAAAGAAAAGUGAGCAAUUGCAUUUUUCACCACAAAACUAAACUGGAGUUUAUACUUCUCUAUAUUUUUGGCGGUAUAGUACAGCAGAAAUACAAGAUUUUGUGUACAUUAAAAUCUUAUUUUAUUAGUGAUAGGGACCCAUUUCUUCCUCUAGGGAGAAGGAAUGUUUAUAUUGUGGGACAAGUUUGUACAGUGAAGGAGUUGAUCAGAAAAAUCAGACUGUAGCUCAUUUUCCAGGCAACUUAAUUGAACUAGCUUUGGGACUGAGAAGAUACCUUUUCUAUUACCCUAUAAUGGUUAAAGACUAAGCAACUGAAAAGUUGAAGGUUGUAUUAAUACUAACAGCAACUCAGUGUGCCUUAAACAAAAAUAGCAACACCCACCAGAAUUUGUUAACUCCUCACUGCCAAAUAACUUCAUUCACUUCCCACAUGCAACCACCCACUUUGUUCAUAACUCAUUCUCUUAAAUCAUGCUCAGAUGCACCUGAUUAAAGAUAGUCUUGAGGAUUUUUUUAAGACUGGUUACAUAUUAUAUGCCUUUGCAGUGAAAGUGUGCCUGCUAAGACAAUAUCUAUUUCACAAGGGGUACAGAUAGGCUUGUAUGUGCAAGUUAAUCAGUGCUUCUGGGCCUGCUUUUCUCCCUUUUUUCUGACUUAAGCUUCUGAAUUUAUAUGUUCCACUUAGCAGCAGCUCUUUUUGUUGUGACUGUCCAAUCUCCAUCAAGUACUUGCUUGCACAGUACCACAGUACUUGCCAAAAAAGAGCUUUUUCAUAGCUUUCUGCUGAACAGAUCUCUAACCGAGGUAUAAAAAAUUUCAGAGAGGCGGUUUCAAUGUGGAGGAUGUGAAACAGCUUAUUAUACUAGCCCUGAAGCUCCUACCCCUAAAGUAUUUUCUUAAAGGGCUUGUGAGAUUUAUAUUUGAAAAUUUGGAAGCUUAAUUUUAUCUCAAGAAGAGAUCUCAAGGGCAGUAUGAGGAGACAAAACUGAGGUCAGCCUGUCUCUUAAUAUGAAGUAGCCUCUACAAGUAGUUGUUCUCUCAGGUUGUUCUUUCAGGUAGUAAAUUGUUCUUUCAUAAUUAUAAUGGCCGCAGCUAUUUCUACCACGUCAAGAUCUAGCUUCAGGUUGUAUACCUGUUCUCUAAGCCAUUUCAAAGGCCCCAGUUACAACAGACUGUGGCUGGAAGACUUUGGAUGAAGAAUCUGGGAAUUCAGUAACAGAAGGACAAGAAAGGAAGGGAGAAAAUAAAAAUUAAUUAACUUAUUUCAUGUCUAUUCUUGUUCCAGCCAGGACAGGGUUCAUUUUUUGCAGUAGCCAGGAGGGGUAUGGCCAGAACCCAGAAGUUAUUCUAUACUACCUCAAUUCAUUGCCAGGAGUGGGGGAAGGGAAUCUCUUUCAGGGAGAAGGGCUCCCUCUUGGUCAUGGUUGUAGCUCCCCUCUCCAGCACACAGCACCGGAGAGGGGGAGGAGAGAACAAGCAGUGCCUGGUUUUAGUGGGAGCGCAGUACUGGAGAAUGCCAUUCCUAAACAACAGCACAUCAAACUAAUUUCCUUAUUUUCCACUGGAAGUUCCAUAAGAGGAGGCUGCAAUAAGACUUGCAUCUGCUAUGAACUCAAAUUAUACAUCACUGCAGCUGCAGUAGUAAGAGAAGACUAAGACUGCAUUUGUAAGAUUUGUGGCAAGUACUGUGAAUAGCAUAUUAAAGAAGGACCCAAUAAACAAGGUGAUGACUUUAUUCUGGAAAGAAGUUAGUCCAUUGUUCUUAAUGAAAGUGAAGGGAAUUUUUCUUUUGUAUAAUUCCCUUCUUUCUGUCUUGGGACCCUGAAUAAAACUGUUUCUUCAUUAUUUCUAACAUUACUUCUACAGGCAGAUACUUGAGAAAUUGUUUAUUUUUAUAUUUGAAAGACAGGGUUUGAAAGAUUGAUUGCUGCUUUCUGCAUUAGGGAAGCUCUGUAGAAUUACUGAAUGUAUCAUGUAGGUUUCCAUACUAUUCUGCUUCAGAUUAGCAUAAUUUUCAGUGUGGGUUUUUUUUUUAUUUAUGAGCUAACUAUUUGUGAAGUGUGAUUAAAUUUUAUUUCUGUUCUUAAUAAUGGGGAAGUCCUUCUCUCAUGUCUCAUAUCAGCUCAUAACAUAUAUAAAUUUCAUGGCUAAACUGAAUUUCCCCUUCAAGAUUCUAAGUGUUGCAUUUAUACUGAGCCUGACACUCUGAAGCCACCUUGCCUCAUAGAUUGAUCCUUAAUGGAGCUGAGCUGACUCCCACUAGUUGGAAAACAAGCUUCAUAUUUCCAUUCGGUCAUCCUGAAGACUCAGUGAACACUAAAGGAGGAACGCAUAUUCAGGAAUCUAAAAUAUUAUUACAGGUCAUUCCUUUUGGAUCUUUCUCUUAACAAAAAAAUGUGUUUUAUUGAAUCAUGUAUUUUCAGCUCUUGUGCAAUAGGAGAAAUAAGAGAAAGCAGUUUUCAUUUUAUUUUCUGAAACUAUUUAGAAAUGAGAGAGGCUAGUGCUGCUACUAGGAUGGUAUAUAUUGACUAUUCCAUAGAAUGAUCAUUCAUUGUAUUCAGGAAAACAUAGUGAUGGAUAGAAAGCAGCAGAAGAAACAUUCUGCAGAUUAUAUCACUAAGAAUUUGUUCAUUAUGUACAUAUUUCAACAUCCCACAUAAUAGAGCUACCACAUAAAAGGAUAAAAAUGCAGCAAAAAUAUAAUCAUUUUUCUGUUGAAUAAAUACAAUGUCGGGUAAUCUUCCAUCAAGUCUUGGGAGUUACAAGAAUUUGGCACUGGCUCCCACUUUCCAAACAACCAACCUCUAAAAAAGUAAGCAUUUCACAACUGAAGUAAACAUCACAUAGCUCAAUUUGUGUUUACUUCAGAUGAAUGUUUAUUCAUGCUCAUUUAUUUCUGCAAAUGUAAAUUCUUUGGAUUAAGAGUCUUACUGCAGAGAAUCUUUCUCCAGCAGCAACAAAUAACCUUAAUAAAUUCUUGUUGACUACUCCCCAUCACUGUCUUCUCUCUCAGAUGCCCAGAUGUGGGCUCCAGGAUGUCUCCCUCCUUGAUUUUACCCCAAAGUGAUGGCCAGCCAACAGGCAUAUCAAAGUGGCUUUUGCCCAUUUUUGAAGGUAGCUCUGACACUUUGUUUUCUCCAGUUGUUGGGGCUCUCCCUCGUAUCUACAGCCUUGGAAAGCUGAUGGAAACUGGUUGUACAAGGACAUCAGCUACAUCCCUCAGCACCCUGGGGUGCAGUAGGACAGGUGUCAGGACAUUUGUGGGUGUUAAGUGCUCCUGCAUGAUCCCUGACUUGACCAUUAAACUAGGCUGGUAGCUCUUCUUCUCCCUCACUGAGUGCAGAGGCCUGGCAGACUUUGCUGGUGACAGCAAGCAGGGUGAUGAAGACCUGCCUUAUCCAUGCCUGCUGUCAUUGAAUCACCUACCCCAUGUGACAAUGGUCAGCCUCCUGUACCUAAUGUAGUAGUAAAAACAUCCAUUGCCCCUGACACUUCUUGCAAGCCAUUGGAAUUUGGGCUUCCCUUAUUCUGCCUCUACAUGCCUUGGCCAUUUUUAUUUAUUCCUUCUUUACAUCCUGCCCCUGUCCCCCACCUAUAUUUGCUUUUUUUUGUGUUGAAGAUAUGUCACAACUUGCUUGCUUCAUCAAGCUGGCCUCCUGAUAUGUCUCCUUUUUUCCAUGAGGAUGGACCAUUUUUUUUACUUGGAGAAUGUUGUCUCUGAAGGCCAACAAGCUUUGCUGGAAUUCUUUCCACUUCAGAGAUACCUCCUCUGAGAUCCCACAUACAAAUUCUCUGAAAAGGACAAUGUUUUUGUGCUUGAAGUCCAAGUCUGUUCUCUGAUUAUGUUCUCCAGCCACACCUCCCAAGUCCAGAACAGAAAAUUUAAAAAUCGGGAGAAUAAAAUUGCUGUGUCCACCAUAGGAGAGGAUCAGUUUCAAGACCACCUAAGGAACCUGAGUGUAUAUAAGUCCAUGGAACCCAAUGAGAUUCCUCCAUAGGUCCUGAGGGAGCUGGCAGAUGAAAUUGCUAAGCCGCUAUCCAUAAUUUUUGAAAAAUCAUUGCAGUCAGGUGAAGUCCCUGAUGAUGGAAAAAAGGAAAUAUAAUAUACAUUUUUUUAAAGAGUAAAAAAUACCCGGGGAAUUAAAGACCAGUCAGUCUCAGUUUAGUGCCAGACAAGACCAUUAAGGAAAUUGUGGAAACUUUGCAAAGGCACAUGAGAACCAAAGUGUUGAUCACUUUCUGUGAUCACCUUCCCAUAUAUGGAAGAAAUGUUCAACAGGUUUGUCAUCCACAAAGGCUCUGUGGUCUUCUCUGCAGUGCUGCUCUCCAGCCAGUCAUCCUCUGACCCGUGCUGCUACUUGGGAUUAUUCCUCACCAGGUGCAGCACCCUACACUUGCCCUUUUUUAACCUCAUUGGGAUUCCCUGUGCCCAAAUCUGCAGCCUACGAAGGUGCUGCUGAAGGUCAGCCCUCAGAUGGAUCAGCCACUCUCCCCAGUUUGGUAUCAUCAGCAAACUUGCUGAUGCAUUAGGUGACAGGUGACUUCAUCUAGGUGACAGAAUCACAAACUAUGCUGCGUUGGAAAGGACCCACAAGGAUCACUGAGUCCAGUUCUUGGACCUGUACAGCACAAUUCCGAAGAGCCACACCAGGUGUCUCAGAGUACUGGCCAAAUGCUCCUUCAAACUGUGUCAGGCUUGGAGCAGUGACCACUUCCCCAGAGAGCCUGUUCCAGUGUCCAGCCAUCCUCUGUGUGAAGAAAAUUUUCCUAACAUCCAGCCUAAACCGCUGCUGACACAACUUCAGCCCAUUCUCUUGGGUCCUGUCACUGGUCACUGCAGAGAAGAGAUCAGUGUUUGCCCCUCUGCUUCCCCUCGUGAAGGUGUUGAAGACUGUGAUGAAGUCUCCCCUCAGUCUCCUCCUCUCAAGGCCACUCCUCACAAGGCUUCCCCCCAAGGCCCUUCGAUCUUCGUGGUCUUCCUUUGGACACUCUCUAACAGCUUCAUAUCUCUUUUGUAUAAAACCUUUCUCAAUGAAAUACCUUUGAGGAGUGACAACUCCCUCUCUCCUUACUGUCAAAAAUUUCAGGAAUAAGCAUGCUCCUAAAGCACUUGGCAGUUGGCUUUUUAGGGUAGAAGUGGCAGUAAUGUUAUCUUUCCCCAUUUUCACAGUGGCUCAGAGCAGCUAACAGGGGCUCAGACCUGUCACAUUUACUCUUUUUAUUGAAUUUGCAAGACCUUGGGUAGGAAGAUCAGCAGUCUUGUUCUGGCUGAAUUUUUGUUGGCCAGUAGCUUUCUUUUCAUUGUCUCAGAUGUGAAAGCAACUCCUUUAAUUGAGAAAGAGCUGGUGAUGAAUCUGUUUUAAUUGUGUAUAGUACAAACCACUUCUUUUUUUUUACAAGUAACAGUAAUGAGCAGCCAUUCUAUGCAGAAUGGGAUAGUUAUACCUCUGACACAAAGGCAUAAGGCAGAGAAACACAGGUCUGGUACAAUAGCAAAGGUUUGAAAAGCAGAGCGAUGCACAAUAUGAUGCAGAGGAGUACAGGCAUGGGAUGAUAGAAAGUGGGGAACAAGGCUGGCACUGGAGAGAGGCUUUGCAUCUAUAAACCACUCUCCUGUGAUCAGUUAAAGAAAUGCAGACCCAGAGCUGGCCAGAACUGAUUUUAAAGAUAACAAAGAGAACAAAUAAAUAUGCCAUAUGUAUAGAGCACCAUACAUAGUAAAUUUGGAUGUAGUAUUAUGCUAUAUACCACUGAAGAAAAAGGAAAAUGAAAAAAAAAUGUGCACAAGUGGCCUCAAGUGGCUCCUGGAGAGAGAAAGAAGAAACCAGUGAAAUUUGUAUCUUUUUCCUCCUGAAUGAUUCAUGAGGCUGACAGCUUUGGACACUUCCCUCUCUAGGGGCCCAAAUCUGUUGACUUCAAGAUGCAGGGGAGAAGUGGGAAGAUGAGCUCUAGGAAAAGGGGAAUAAAAACUACAGAAUGGGUGUGUUUCCCUUUUAAUUUUAUUAUUACCAAGACUUUUCCAUAUAGAAGGGAUUUGACUGAAAUUCUAUUAGUUCAUGUUCUGUAAUAAUUAAAUCUAGAUCAGAGAAUCAUAGAAUCAUUAAGAUUAGAAAAGACCUCCAAGAUCACUGAGCCCAUCCUUUGAUUGAGCACCACCAUGUCAACUAGACCAUAGCAGUAAGUGUCAUGUCCAGUCAUUUCUUGAACACUUUCACUGAGCAGCCUGUUCAGAGCUUGACAACCCUUUUAGUAAGAAAAAUUCUUCCUGUUGUCCAGCCUGAGCCUCCCCUGGCUCAGCCUGAGGCUAUUUCCUCUUGCUCUGUUGUUCAGUGCCUGGGAGAAGAGACCAACCCCACAGGCUACAACCUCAUUUUAUGUAGCUGUAGAGUGAUAAGGUCCCUCUGAACAUCCUUUUCUCCAGACUAAAUAACCUCAGCUCCCUCAGCCACUCCUUAUAUGACUUACUCUCUAGAUCCUUCCCAUGCUUCACUGCCCUAAGAAAUUUAAAAUUUUUCUUAAAAGCCACUGGCAGACUGGCACAUGCAGCUUCUCAUAUGAAUGUGUUUUCAUUACUGGAUACAUGAUUACCCUACAUUUAUCUACAAAUGGACCUUGAGCUUAUUGUGCCUUCUAGCAGGGGAGCACAGCUACCUCUGACCAAUGAGCAAUACCAUGUCUGUUGGGGAGGCUCUACUCAUUAACCAAGCACACAUCAUUAAGAGAAACACACAUGAAAUGUCAAGGAAGAAAGGGAACACCUGCCUAAGCUAACCAGAUCAGUCAGAUCAACCCACGCCAUCAAUGGCAUAUCAGAUCUCACAGCCAGGUUACCCUCCCUCAUAUCCAACAUCAUCCUAACAAUAUAUUUCUAUUUACUUGUAUGUAAGUUAUGAUUCCUCUAUUGCAUAAGCAGGAUUUUGAGUAUAAUGCUGCAACAGCUGCCAGGCUGUAGGGAAUGAAGCCAUCUCAGAGGGACAGGGUGCUGUCUGCAGCAGGGGUGCAGCAGGGCCUGGAGUCUUUGCUGAAGGCUGUGCUAUGAUGACAGUGGUGUGGUCCAGGCCAAGGUGAUCAACAGUGGUGAGAGGGAAAAAAUCACCAGACAUCAGCAGCCUUCUGUCAGUCAUAAAGUAGAUUUUAAUAUUUUUUAGUUUUUGAAGCACAGUCAGAAAAAGCUUGUCCUACCAAAUCAGGUAGUUUACCUUAUAAGGCUGAGAUAUAGAUACAGUGUAAUUAAUCAGAAAAUAGUACAAUUAGACUUCAUUAAUAGCUUAACUGUUCUGCUAAAACCAGUUUUGAAACUAGUUUUUGAAACUACUGUUUUUGAAAACCAUCUGUAAGGUUAAAUUGUGAUGAUAAUGUAACUACUCUUCUCACAAUAGUAUGUACAUUCUCUCAGGGGUGUGAAGGAUUUGAAUAUUAGCAUGUAUAACUCUGUAAAACAGAUUUAUCAGGGCAGGUAAUGUGUGCUUGUAAAAGACAUUAUCUGUGAGAAAAGUCUGCUCCUCAGGUGUUCCCUGCAGUAAUGUCUGUCUUGUGGCUCUAGUGCUCCUAUCUAUUAAAGCAUAAAGACCAUUGUGAAGACAUAAACAGUGGUGUCUUUUGGUGGUGUUGCAGCUGUUUUUGUCCGGCAUCUGGGGAUUGCUGUGAUGGGAGCAGAUAACCUCAAAACUUCCAGGCUGUUUUUACUUAUACUCAAAGACUUGGCAAAUGCUUUUUUCUUUUUUUUCCCCUAGCAACUAAAAAUUAAUCAUUAGUCAGGCCUUAUGUAUAUCAUACCACAUGUAUGAUACACCUUGCUGGCUCUUGAUUUCACAGGGUUGACUGGCUUUAGUUCUCUGAGGUCAGGAUGGCUAGGCUCAGGACCACUGAGAUAAAUGAGAAACAAAUUUGGCAUGCUUGGCCCAAACUAUUAUUUCCUCCUUUUGUAGGUCAAAACCAGCUUAAUAUGGUCAUUCCAGACACGUGUUACUGAUUUUGUAGAGGGGUGUUACCUGUUAGGUGACUGCUGUCUGAUUCCUUCUAACAGUUGCACACUGGAUAUCACUGUCUUAGUCGUACUAUUCUUAUGCAACCAUACCAAACAAACCUUACAAAAUCUGUAGCUUCUGACAUCAGUCAGAUAUGUGUGGCUGCCACACUCACAGAACAAAGUCUCUAACAGGUGUGAUGCCUGAGGUAGGUAAGAGAAGGUAAGAGGUAAGAGAGGCAAUAAUUUAAAUUUCAUUUAAUAAAGCAUAGUAAGCAAUGCACAGGUUUUGGCUCAGUAACACUGUAGCUUAAAAGAAUUUCAAGCUAAACCAGAUCAAACCUCAGAAAAGAUACAGCUGUCUGAUUUGAUGGUCAAGAGAUUCCACAGAAAGAGAAAGAACAGAAAUCAUCUCUUUCAGCAAAUACCUCCCCAAAGAAUCCCUCACACCCUCAUUUCAGAAGAGUUUGGUGAAACCUUUGGGCAGAAACAGAAAUGUGAAACAUGACCUCAGAAUAUAGCACAGGUUUUCUGAGUUCAUCUACUUUGUUCCCUGACUCAUCUCCUUAAAUCUCUUUUCAUUAAUCAAAUUCAUCCAUGCACUUUUGGUAGAGAAAACCAUAACAUCAUUAAUUCAAAGACCAACAUAAUUAUUUAAAAUUUUGGAGUGCACUUCUUUCUAUUGUAGAUCAGGGAGUACGGCCGAAAAAAAAAGGUUUCUACUUCUUAGGAAAAGGUCUUAUCAUACAUCUCAAAAAUUAUUUCAUCUUUGUUUAAAUGAAAGAGGAAGAUAUCAGUCUUUAGUUUCCACACAAAAUAACUGGAACUUAUCGGCUAGAGGGUUUAAAAUUAUGAGUACUUUUAGUUGGCUUUUUUAAAUUCCAAAUAUUGUUUGAGUUGAAUAUCAUACUACAGAAAUGCUAAAGGGUAUGUAUGUCAUGUACUGCAUUGCAUUUGUGAACUGCAAGGAUUAAAACAACAUAAUCUCCAAAGAAGCUUGUACUAUAAACCAAAAAAUAAUUGAAUUUUCAGAUGCAUGGCUGUCUCACCUGGUAAUUCAGCUUCUGGGAACGAUCAGUGAUGACUGUGUCAGGGAACAGCUUAGCCAAAGUCAAGAACUGAACCACCAGGCAUCGGCAAGUAUCUCCAGAGAUAAUCCUAGCCUGGGGCUGGUAGGGUUUGACAUACUCCAAAAAGAAUGAAACUUCAGUUUAUAUUCCUUAUCUUUACAAGGGGAUGAUCAUGCAUCUCCGGUUUUACUCUACACCAGUUUUGGGUGUAGACAAGGAGAGAUGGUCAUCAGCCUAUCCCACCAAACCAGCUCUACCACAACACAUAAUGGGAAGAAAGAAAUCUUCUUUAUCCUGACUGGACCCCAACAGCCUCCUCGGAUCCCUCAAAAUUACACUGAGCUCCCCUCCAUCUUUUCUCACUCCUACUUCUUUCUGCUACAAAAUUCAGUUUAUAUUUGCCAGCAAUGAAGGAAGGAAAAUUUAAUAUGUUCCUAUUACUAGAACAAAAUAUAAUUUUUAUCAACAGUCCAGAGAAUCCCUGUAAUACUGUGGGUGUGAUUUAGUGUGUCUUCAGGAAAAGACCUUAUAGCUAGCAGCAGCAUUCUUCUGUUUCUUACUUUCCAUCAAAAUAUACUAAUCUGGCACUAUGUCCAGCUCUGGUGUUAAUACAGUCACAGUCCUGCAGAGGUGAACACUCUCAGUUUUAAAACUUGAUCUGGAUUACAGGAAUAAGCAGCCUCAAUUUCCAUUUUGCAGUCAUGGUUCAGAAGACACUUAAAGGCAAGUUUUCUCCUCAGCUGAGACUUUGCUCCAUGAAGUAUAGUUGAGUGAACUUUUGUUCUUUCUAAAAAGAGCUGUAAUGAAACAGUUACAACCUUGCUUCAAGUUUUUUUUCUCAUUUUUUCAGAAUGAUUAUAUAGCAAAAGUAGUUAAAGAUCUGGAGGCUUCUUUGCAAAGUGAUUUUGGAAAAUGGUGCCCUGUCUGUCUUGGUACUUGAGCUUCUUCUUUUUGAGAAGGCUUUAUAAGAUAAGACAUAUUUUCAGAUUAACCAACUGAAACUGAAGAACUAAGAAUGUAUGAUGUUGAGUAUAAACACAUGCCAAAGUGCCUUCCUUACACUUCCAAAAUACACAGUAUAUAGAAGCAGGGAAAAAUAAAGGAAAAUACUUUCUCUAAAGCUGGUCUCAGCCACCAUAAUGAUCCUAGAGUUAAUCAGGUGGAACUGUUGCUGCUCCAGUUUUGUCAGACAGAGCCCCAUGAAGCAAUAUAUCUGAGUGCAAGCAGAGCACCUCACUAGCAGACAUCCCUUUAUGGUAAGGAUAAUUUAUGGGCAUAUGCAUUUUAAGGUAAUACUGAUGAGAUAUACUUGUCUUUAUGUAUUUAUAAUGGGGUGAAAGAUGCAGAUGAUUUUUUGUGGCAUGACCAUGCACAAUCCACAUUGAUCUACAUGCUGUAAAUAUCAGGCCUACAGAAGAACAACUUUUGGGGGAUUAGUUGUUAGUGCCAGGAAGAUAGCUCACUGGUCAAGAAACCCCACUGUGCAGCCCCAAAUGAAGGGAGAGGGUGACCCUUGCUGGGCAGGGCCUGCUCAGGGUGGUUGGUGGUGGCAGUGGUACAGAUGGGGGCAAGGGACUCCUUUCACCACCAGCAGCCCCCAUUCUGUCUCCCUCUGGGCAUUGACUCCCUCCUGGCCUUUCCAAGCUGGACUUCCCAGCACAGUGGUGAUCCUGGAGAUGCUUCUCAGGUUGGGUACAAACCUGCCAAGCACUGGCUGACCCUGUGCCAGCUGCAUGAGCUGCACAGGGCACAGCGUACAUUUCCUGUGUCAAGGAGUCAGCACAGACCAGGUUUGCCAGGCACAGGGGUGUUUUUGAAAGUCUUAUCUCUCAUGGAGAAUGUCCUUUGGACUUGUUUGGUCAGCUUUUUUUUUCCUGGUUUGUCAUCAGAACUGCCUUGCACAUAUGAGAUUAGAGAUAACCUGCUGUGUGAUACAACAACAGCAGUUUGGAGUUAGGCUGAAUGGCAAGAAGCUUUUCUGUUGGCAUCACUUUAUGAAGUAAUGGAGUUAUUUUGGCAAGGUAAUUCUUUUUGGGGGAUUAAGGAGGGAAUAAAGCUGUGAAUGGUGACAAUCUCAGAAUAUGUGCAGAAGUUAAGUUUUUCCAGUCACCAUGGUUACUUGUUUCUAAGCUAGAAACAGGGAGGGAAUGUAUAAUUUAUAUCUUUAAACUGACCUGCCUUAUUGAAACUACAUUGUGUUCUGAGUUGGACCCACUUCAGUAAAAACUGUUCAAAGAAACAGGCCUGCAUUUGAUGUGAAAUACCAUAGAUAUUAAUCAGAGUGAUUAAUUCCUGCACUCUGCAAACAGCAAUUGUAAAAAAUGAAGUGACCAAGUCAGAGUCAAAGUGGGUUUGUUGGGUUUUAUUUGAUGGCACAAAACCAGAUUUGAUAUUUUCUGAAGGUGAAUUAAGACUCCAGUUUUUUGCCAGCACAAGACCACGAGAACUUUUUAAUCUCUUAAAGCAAGUGUUUUGUGGUACAUGGAAUAUUUUCUAGGUCUUCUGCAUUGAUAUGUUUGACCCUGUAGCUGUUUUUGCAUCAGGAAAUAAAUUGCUAGUAAGGAAGGCAGUGUCUGAAAAAUAUGAUUAGGAAAAUGUUAUUGAAAACAGUAUUUCUGCUUAUUAAUUUCUAUCUACUAUCUAAAGAAAGGACAAGAUUUCUCUCUUCUUGUCCAUUUGCUCAAACUCUCAUCCAAUCAUUACUAAUUAGCAGGGAAAAGAGCUGGUAGUUCUGGGAGAGGAAGUUGUCCCUGCCCAUGCUAGAGGGGUUGUAACGACAUGAUUUUUAAGAUCCUUCCAAUCCAAAUUAUUCUAUGUUUUGAUGUUACUUUAUGUACACCAGAAAGAGCUUUCAAAAGGAUAUUUUCCAAUGUAACCUCCAACUCUUAAAACAUUAUAUUACAUCUCUUUACCAAACAUAUCUUGUUCCAUAUCCAUGCACUUUACUUCCAUAUACAAUUUACUUACAUGAUGGCCUGUACCUUUUACUGCAGAGCCAUUUGCAAUUCAGGAAACACUAUGGAUCAAAUUCAAAUAUUCCUCAGGAAAAAAACUACUUUCAACUUUUAAUAGAGACCUUGUCACAACCUUAUCCACUUUAAAAAGCACGAGGGAUAUGCCUACAUAUAUUAGGUGUCAAGAACUCCUAGAUUUUUUCUGUGAUAACAAAUAUUAAUUUUACCUAAUUUAAUUCAAUAUUAGUACUGUUACUAAAUGAGAACAAUAUUGUGAAAGCUGUAGCUUUCAAUUUUUGUUUCCAUUUCAUGCUGUUGAUUUGGUCUUUAAUUAUAAAUGUUCACAUUGUAAAUCAUGGUGAAGCCAUCAGUUAUGACUGUGACCAGACAUUUGAUUUUGACACUUUUAUGAUUAACAUUAUGUAAAGAAAGAGUUCUUGGCACCUGAACAGUGCUGGUGCAGCUAAUCCAGCCACCACAUUUACUGUAGCCGAGGUAAGUGAUUCAUUAGCUGAAUUGUGAACAAAAGUGAACUUCUUGCCUAUUGUAUCAGCCCUAAAAAGUAAAACAAUAAAAAUGCAUCAUUUGUUUUAAGCAAAUCUUAGACUUUACCUAUAAUGGUUCAAUUGCAAAUAUCUUUCAGCAGAGAAAAGCACUGAUGCCCACCCACAAUGUGAUGUUACAAAUUUAGAAACACUCUUCUGCUGUUACCAUAGAAAUCAUUUAAGUUUGCAACAAAAAUUAUGGGGGAAUUUAGGAAGAUUCAACAGAUGCUGUUAAAUUUCAUCUAUUUUGUUUUCAAUGCACAAAAUACCCUGAGGGUAAAAAAACAGUCAAGUUAGCAGAGAAGAGAUGUUUGAAAUUUUUAGCUCUACCUGAGAAAAGUCUAGAAGAACAGGAGAUUUGCUGGUAGCUGUCUUAUCCAACUCCUCUGUGUCCACCUGUUUUAGGCCAUUGGAAGAUGAGUCCUUUAGUUCCCAAGAUUUGGGUCAGAAAAUUCACUUUUGGGAUGAACAGGAAUUACACCUAUUUGUUGGGCUGAAAAAAGUUUUCCCCAAAAUCUACCUUAUUUGAGACUUAAGACCUCCUUAGGUAGAAUGGCCUUUCCAGCAAGAGAAAUUCACAUCAGAAAUAAACACUGCUAUAACAGCUUUUCAAAACAGCUUCUGUGUGACCAAUUUGGAUAAACAAUCACUUGUGGAUGUGCUUGUGAAUCAUCUCAUUACAGUGAGAUUCCAUGUGAACCACAAGGUCUUCUCAGCAGGAGCAAGAUUUGAUCUGCGUGCCUGCAACGCAGAAGGCUUCAUGUUCAAAGUCACCUUUAGCACAGUAGAGAUUUGAAAAUGUCUGAUCCAGACACCAUUAGAUUUAGUACUGAGAUUCAUACUGAUUUUUAUACAGUCUAGAUUUGACGCAGUGCUUACACAGGACCAGGGUCUUUUCUGUUUCUCAUCCCACACAACCAGAGAGGAGGCAGGGGAAAGGACACCGCCAAGAGAGCUGAGCCCAGCUGACCAAAGGGAUAUUCCACACCAUAGGACAUGAUGCUAAGUGUAUGAAGCAGAGGCAGAAAGAGGAAGUGAGGGACAUUUGGAGUAAUGGUACUUGUCUUCCAACCCACCAUCACCUGUGACGGGGUCUUGGUCUGCUGGAGAGGGAUAAACACCUGUCUGCCCAUGGGAAGCAGUAAAUUCCUUGGUUUUCUUUGCUUGUGUGUGUGCGUCUUGCUUUACCUUUCCCUUUACCUUUUGCUGUACAUAUUGCACUGUCUUUAUCUCUACCCACACUUUUUCUUUUUUACUCUGAUUUUCUCCCUUAUCCCACCAGAAAGUGAGGAGGAAAGAGGAAAAGUGUGAAGAGCAGAAUCAGCCAGUGGCUGUUUGGAGCUUAGUUGCUGGUGUUAAACCCUUUAAACUCUUCUUUCUUUCAAAAACAUAAAUCCAAACCACUGCACUGUACCAACUGCUAGGAAGAAGACAAACAUUAAUCCAGCCAAAAAAACAGGACACCUGACAUAAAUGAACAAUUUGAUAUGUCUCAGAAAGUCCUUUAGUACCUCAGAAAGAAAACUGGUGCAGCGCUGUUCUGUAAAGCUGCUCUAUAGUCAUUCAGACCUUUAACACUAAAUAAAACAACAUGCUGGCAUGGAUUUGAAGGCUCUCAUGCAUAUAAUUAUCUGCUAGAGACCACAAAUCAAAGUCUGAAAUUAAUUGUGGAAGAAACAAGAAGGAGCUCUGAAAACCUCUAAGGAGGAGUGGCCCAUAAAUAGUUUUCAGGUCUCUAUUCCUAAGCACUUAUGAUUGUACUAUGUCCCUCUCAUGACCACUCAAACUCAAUGUUCUCCAGAACACACACACACACAGAGUCAUGAAGUGAAGGACUGAGGAACUUCCAAAAGAGAAAAAGACCAACCACAAACUCAAAAGCUGCUGCUCUUCUCAAACUCAAAUGAUUCUAAAUAACUGUAUCCUAAAUAUUUAUCACCUUACUAUUUUUUGUAUGUUUUGUUGAGUCUUCCAGUUGCUGACUAAUGAAGAAUAUAUUAAUUAUUUUUAAAAUACAGGUUUAAAUCUUUAUUUCAAGGAAAGAACUGCUUAUCAUGCAUUAUACCCCAUAGUGAACACUGUGACUUCCUUUUAGUGAGAGGCAAACAAUUAGAUUGGUACAUAUGGAUCCUCAGGUAUAUGCUGAUAUAGUUUCUUAUAAAUUUGUUCAGUGUGUGUCAGCAAAGGUCUGCACUGAAAGUUUUGCAAUAAUUUAUAUUUUUGGUGCUCAGAGCUGAGUUUGUUUUAACAUUGAAACAAUUCUGAAAGAACAUUCAGUUCAUGAAUGUAUUGGGUCUGGCUGACAUGGAGCUGACUUUCACCACAGCAGCCCACAAAUGUUACUCCUGGCAAAGCCCUGCUCUUCUGGUAACAACUAAACAGUUCCUGGAAGUGAAAAGUGAAUUUCUCUUUUUGAUUUGCACUGCCCAAACACCAAUUGUUUACUUUAUAUUUUACUUUCAGAGAUAGGAUUGGGGUUAGGGUUGGGUCUCAAUUUGCCAUCUCUGUUAAGCUGUAGGAAACAGCUGUGUGAGUAUUUGGGCCUCAGUUGUGGCUGGCCCACCAUAGUAAAUGAACAGGUGAUUUUUGAAAAAGAAUUCACAACAGGAAUUAACAAAAGACACAAAAGACUAACUCUUUUCUAUGUAUACUUCUUUUUUUUCUUCUUCUUUUUUUUCCCCCCCAAAACUAAAGAGAAAACUAAAAAAUGUGUUGGUCCUGACUCACACCUCCAUGUCCUCUCAACAAGCAACUCAGGGUUGCUCCUCUGAAGCUGCUGUGGAAAAUGAGAGUUCUUGGUUAAAUGUGAUGUGCUGGCAGUACGUUUUCAUUUUCAGGUUUCUUUCUCUCUCAACAACUGUACACCAGGUUCUCCAAGAUUUCUGGGGAAAUUAAUGAGCUGAGCUUAAUCUAACUAUGUGUAAUCCUUUGAUUUGUGUAAUUUAUUGUGUUUGUGCAGUGUUCAUUUGUUUGUUUGGUUGGUGUGGGUUUUAUUUUUAUUUGCAUGUAUAUGUUCUAAUUAAUUAAAUAUUCACAUUACAAGAGGCCAACUUACAGUAUGCGGUCGGUAGCUCUGACUUUUGGAAACUCAGCACUUGCCUACUUGUGCUCCUGCAGCUGCAGGUGGGUUAGCCAGGCUGGGAAGUACAGCCUUUUAAGCUUUCCCUACAAACAAACUUCACAUUAAAAGCAGAAUUUCCAGCUCAGGUGUCUGUCCUUGAUCCUGACCUCUUCCCUCAUAAGCUUGCUGGAAGAGUAGAUGGUCUGGGUCGCAGCUCAGCGCACAGACCAAGGGGAGCCGCUUCCCUCUGAGAUAAAAGCUGGCCAGCCAGCUCUGAGCAAUGAAAACAAAGCCCCCAGAGGUACCCAGCCCGGUGUAUCACCGAGCAGCUUGAAGCUAACUUGCAAGCAAACUUUUUCACUUUGUUACAGUGACACCUGGUGUUCAAAGAUAGCUUUUUCGAGAGCGAAACAUGAGGACGUCGAUAAAAGCAGCAACACGAAGGCUUGUACUUUGGCACUGACAAACAAAUGUUCCAAUUUGCAAACACAAGGUUUUGUCAGGUCCCCUUUCUUCCUUCCCCACUUACUAAGGGGCAAAAAAAAAAACGUUAAAAGGAGUCUCAGUGACUUUGUGCGUCUACUGUUGAUGAUUUAUGUAUGCAUUAUACUCUGGAGCAACAACUGUCACACAGAUUUGGGAACCUUUUCAACAAUGAGACAGCAAAGCAGUCCUCUAAAUAUAAAGGAAAAAAACUCGAACCCAAUUCUUCAUUAAAGUGUGUCAAACAUGAAGCCCACGAGGCUAUCUUGAUGUCAAAUUAAUUAGAGAAGACAUAUUUAACUACCAGUAUAGUUUACUCAAGGUCAGUAAAUCAAGCUCCCUUCUAACAUCAUUUACCUUCAAGAAGGAGCACAACAUUCUGUCCUGGUUUCAGCUGGGGUAGAGUUAACUUUCUUUACACUGGCUGUCAUGGGGCUGUGUUUUGGGCUUGUGCUGAACAGAGGCUUCAUUAUACAGAGAAGGUUGUUAUUUCUGAGCACAGGCUAUACAGUUCCAAGGCCUCUUCUACUUUUUGUGCUGCCGCAGUGGUAGGGUAGGGGUAAAUGGGAGACUGGGAAGAAACAGAGCCAGAACAGGUGACCCCAAACUGACAAAAGGGAUAUUCCAGAUCAUCAUCCUCAGUAUGUGGAGGGGGGAAGAAGUAAGUGGGGGGAAGAAGGGGGGACAUUUUGAGUGCUGAUGUUUGUCCUCCCAAGUCACCAUCAUGUGUCAUGAGGCCCUGCUCUCCUGGAGAUGGCUGCACACCUACCUGCCUGUGGGGAGCAGUCAAUUAAUUCUUUACUUGGCUUUGUUUGUGUGCAUGAGUUUUGUUUUCCUAUCAAAUUGCUUGUAUCUCAACCCAUGAGAGAGCUCUCUAGCAUUUGCCCUUCUGAUUCUCUCCCUGGUCCUGUGGGUGGAGCAGUGAGUAAGCAGCUACCUGGGGCUUGGCUGCUGGCUCAGGUUGAGCCACAACACAUUCCCCAGUACCAGACUAACAAAACUCAGAGCUACUUAAGCAGUAGCUCUGUGAAGAAAAGAUCUACUCAACAGAGUCACUAAUGGUAAAAUGCUUUAAUGUUAAGAAAACCAGAACCACCCCCAAACCCCUCAAAAAUCCCCAAAUAAAAAACCCAAAGUCCUACUAAAAAGUUUAUCAAAUUACAAAAAUAAAGUAGUGAUAACUGUGUUUUGUCACUGUGAAGGCCUAACUUCAGUUCUAUGAGUGGGAUUCUUAUCUGAAUCAGUCUUUUUCAAAUAAUUUCCAUUUACACCCCAGAAGAAAUAUUGAACAGUAAUUACUGUCCGUUGUAAUAUCUCCUUUAAAUUGCUUUCAUUUCAACAAAAGUAAAGCUAUCUCAAACAGCAACAAGGUAUUUCAUUCCUUGGAACCUCAGCUGACAUGCUGGGAGACAAUAAACACCAACUUGUUGUCAGGUUAAUUACGAUAAAGCUCUAGGUUUAUUAUUUGGACUGACUUCCAUGCACACAGUGACAGCUGAAGGCUGCAGAGACGAAUAGAGGCAGGUACAGCUGUGUGAAUUUCUGUACUUCCAUACAAGUUGUUUCCUGCCAGACCCUCAUCCCCUUCUUCCAACCUUCCCCCACAACCCUCUGCCUCUAAACGGCAUUUUGGACAAACUUGGCUGGACAACCCUCUUUGACAGUGUCAGAUAUUUGAGAGAGGCCCUUCUCUCCAUUUAGAGACUAAACCAUAUACAUUACUCUUCCUUUAGAACCACACACUGUUCUCAUUAAUGGCACAUGUUAGUGGCAAGGGAAAAGAAUGCCCAACAGGACUCAUUCUGAGCAUCCUGGUAAAAUGCUACGGGAGGAGGGGAUUGUUGUUAUUGUUUUGUUUGUAAUAUUUUUGUGGGGUUUUUUUGUUUGUUUGUUUUGUGUUUGGGUUUCAUUUCAUUUGGGGGAAGUGUUUUUGGUGGGUUUUUUUUGUUUUGUUUUGGUUA